GUGGGAUCUGAGGGGCGGCAGGGACAGACCGCGUGGGGCUUUGAAGUCAUAGUAAGGAUUCUGGACUGUGUGGCGGGAACCACGGAAUCCAGGAGCCCGUUUGGAACUGCUGCAGCUCAGACUGUUAAUGUCUCCUCCCCACCUGGUGCUCGGUGACUUCACACAGGGCAAAUGUUCGUGGUUGCCCUUCAGCGUUUCAGGGAGAACUGCAUGAAACCACGCAGUCUUUGGGCAUCAGCACAAAGGGCUGUGGUGUAGAGACGGCAUUUGGGCUGAGGAUUAAAGGAUAAACUAGACAAGACAGAAGAGGGAGAAAAUGCCUUGGAGUAAUGUCCAAAGUCAGCGGUGGAGUUUAGUGUUUAUGCCACUUUGGGGCCCUUUUUAAGGAAAAUCAAUACAACACUAUCAAUACGGAAGAACAAAAGUAAAUAAGAAUGAAAAAACCCACAACAAAUUACACAUUAAAAAAAAAAUCUGAGAAAUACCACAAAUAUCCUAAAAUUGUGA
rnacentral:lncRNA from 1 species